CGCAUAAUAACGGAUUUAUCUUAUUCUGUAUGUUACACCUAUAUGUAUACGUAUAUCUUUACAAAAAGUCACGCACACUUUCGGUAUUCAUCGAGUCACUUGUCUUCCCGACACUUUGACAUUGUUUGCAUUGGAAAACGAAUGUACUGGCGUUUCUGAAAAUUUGGGGGGAUGCGAGCUUUGGAAGAGUUUUAGAUUCCUGGAACCGUUGGUCCAUUGGGCUUUGGAAUCCUGAGACUCUGAUACUCCAGAACAGUAGGAUCCCAAAACCUCAGGAUCUCAAGAUCUCAAGACCUCGAUACUCAAAAACCCCAAAAUCUCAGGAUCUCAAGGCCUCGAGGCUCCAAGAUCCAAGGUACCAAUAAAAUUUUGGAAAAUUCAGCAUCAUCUAAACAUUCAGACCAAACCAGAUUCCCGUCGAACGCAGCAAAAUUUACUCAGAUACAUGCAAAUCAUUCGAAAAGCACCACUGCCAUUGACGCUGCAUUAAUUACGUCGAAUUUUUCGUCGAAAAUACAAUCUGGAGCGGUCAGUUAAUUAAAGCUGGUAGCUGAUGAAUUUGUCAUCUCUGAAAACGAGAAAACGAGCGUCGGGAACGUGCGAACGCGUGCAUGUAACUGGAACGUUGAAAUUAAUGAAAAUAAUUGUUCCAAGCGAUAUUCGGGAUAGUUUGCCGGUAAACGCGCAUUGUCCUGGAUGCUAAGAAUUAACUGCGAGGCUAACCGCGGGGAACACAGGCAUUCCGUAGUCGAAUGCGUUUCAUUUUACUGUUUUGGCCAUUUGCAGCAACUGCGAAUCUGAGGACCGAAAGAACAAGAACGCAGUCGCGAGUUCGAGAAUUGAAAGAACGGAAGCUGAAAUCCGAGGAUCCUUACACCCGUGCUCUCUUCCACAGUCGAACAUGAAGUCGAAGAUGGCACCUUGUUCGAUACAACACACAAACCUUAGUAGCAAGGACUGCCAAGAUUAAAAACCAGAAAUUAACGCACUAACUAUUUUUCCAACAACCAACGACCACGUUCCCCAAGAAAACAUAAAAAUAUCAUCCGGAACAAAAGGUGGCGCAACUUAUGGGAGGACGCGAUGCAUGCAGGAGCACCCGGAAAUUCUGAUCGAUGUCGCGUCUCUAUCAUCCGUGGUGCGUCAAGACGGGAACAUUCUCGAGACAUUUAGAAUGGAAACAUUUCCGGGUGUAACACAACGACGUGGACUUGAGCGCAGAAUGCGCGGGAGAGCGAUUUCCGGCGUGGAUCUCCUGUAUCGAGCUCGUGAAUCAUUUCGAAACACGACAUUUGAUUUGAUGGAGCGUGGCCGUUGUGAGGGGACAGAAGGAUAGGGGGUAGAGCAGGCCUAGCCAGGCCCGGAAGCACUUGAAUCAUUAAGUUUAAUCGGGCUUGGCCGUCGUGGUGGGUACGGUAGUGUUGUGUUUUGGUUUUGGAAGAAAUAGAGAUUAAUUCACGGCCUUCGGGGCACUCGAAGGCAGAGGGGAAAUGUCAACAGCGAUCAUUCGACCUACAACGAUCAUGUCGCUACAAACAUCGGGUAUAUCAAACAAUCGUGUAUAAUUUAUGAAUUCUCUAUCAGAACUGUAAAUACAUGACUGUAUAGUACAGGAAAAAAUUGUAAAUAAUUUAUGAAUUUUCCACAA